CGUGGGGUAACCUGCCCUAUGGAGGGGGGAUAACACAGAGAAAUCUGUGCUAAUACCGCAUAACGUGACACCAGCACAUGCUGGAGCCACCAAAGAUUUAUUGCCAUGGGAUGGACCCGCGGCCCAUUAGCUAGUUGGUGAGGUAACGGCUCACCAAGGCGACGAUGGGUAGCCGGACUGAGAGGUCGAACGGCCACAUUGGAACUGAGACACGGUCCAG
rnacentral:rRNA from 1 species